GAGGCACAAACACGGGGCCCAGCGUAGUCGAGUUCCCACGGGAGGUCAAGAUGGGUGCUCAUCCUGGAUGGGUCCAACCUGCAGUCAUCUGUGCCAUCCCACAAGCGCCAUGUCCUCUCUGACCUUGGCGUGACCUUUGUGAGAGGGGGACCCGGCCAGGAGGGAGUCAUACUACAUCACGUAUACGGAAGCCAGAGGACAAGGGUCCAGUCAGUUCGGUCUUUCUACUAUGUGGGCACUGGGGUUUGAACUCGGGUCGCCAGGUUUAAGGUCAAGGGCCUUUGCCUACCAAGCCACACAGCUGACCCAGAAGUUAAUUUCUCACUGACUUUUCAGAGCCACUUGGAGCAGUCUGGCCUGGAGUCUUUGUGCACCCCAGACUCCCCAUUAAGAGAAACCAGAUCACAGGUGUAUAAAGAGACCUUACCCACCACAUGCUGACAUGCCUAUUCUGCCAACCUUCUGUGGUACUACCAUCUCUCCACCCUGGUUCCUUUCUCCCUUCUCCCAGGUUUCUUAUGGUCUCAUCCUCGAAGUCACUGGCUGUCCCCACAGCAGAUACAGACCCUGGGUUCUCUGAGCCUCAGUUUCCCCACGUCUCCAGUCCCAGCAGACUGUAGGGUAUACUCCUGAACCUUUCUGUUCAUCAUUACCCUCUUAGCCCUGACCAGCCCUGAACUUGUCCAAGGGACAAUGAGGCCGAGCUGGCGAGGAGAAAAGGAGGUCCCACUCUUUGGCCAGCCCUGGAAUCAGGUUUGGUUUUGUUGGUUUUUUUUUUUUUUGUUUGUUUGCUUGUGGUUUGUGUCUUUGCUACUGUUUUUUAUUUCAGACAGCGUCUCACUGUGUAGCUCUGGGUGGCCUGGAACUCUCUACUUAGACCAGGCUGGCUUUGAACUCACAAAGAUUUGCCUACCUCUGUGUCCCAAGUACUGGGAUUAAAGGUGUGCGCCACCACCCCAGGCACAGCAUCAGGUGUUGAGAUCUGCGGAAAGGAGGGGGUCGACACGCUUGGACAGUGCAGGGCCCUUCAGCCACCACCAGAGCCAAUUCUCGUGACUAAAGCAAGAGAAAGAAUUGGGGAAGAGCAGGCAGAUCCUGCCUAGAUUCAGAUUCCAGAUGGAUCUCUCUGGAGCGAGUUUAUUCACCCCUCUGAGCCUCAGUGAGCCAGCCACAUGGCUCAGCAAGUAAAGGUGACUCUUGCCAUUCCUGAUG